rnacentral:rRNA from 1 species
GAUGAACGCUGGCGGCGUGCUUAACACAUGCAAGUCGAACGGAAACGAGCUGCGCUUGUAUGCUGCUGGAGUGGCGAACGGGUCAGUAACACGUGAGUAACCGGCCCUUGACGUGAGGAAUACUUCAGGAAACGGGGUCCAAUAACCGAUAAGUGCCUCUGCUGCAUAGUAGUUAUUGGAUUGUGUAGGCGGUUGGGGAUGGACUCGCGGCUUAUCAGGUUGUGGGUGGGGUAGUGGCUUACCAAGGCUUUGACUGGUAGCCGGGCUGAGCAGGUGACCUGCCCAAUUGGGCCUGAGCUACGGCACAGUCUCGUACGGUAGGCAGCGGUGGGGAGUAUUGUCCAAUAGGAGGAAGGCUAACGUAGUAGCGCCGCGUGGGGGAUGACGGGAUGCGCGUUGUGAACUGCUUUCGCUUGAGACGAAGGGUGAGUGACGGUAAUGGAUAAAGAAGCACCGGCUAACUACGUG